rnacentral:lncRNA from 1 species
GGAGCCGGCUCCGGCCUCAGCUGGCCCAGAGAGGGGCUCCCUCAGUGCAGUGGCGAGCUGAAGGGCUCCUCAAGGGCGGCUGGAGUGGACGCUGAGGCCGAGGAGACGCCAAGAGCAAACGAGGGCUGCUAGUACAUUGUCACCUCUCACUGGUAACUACAGUUGCUGUCAGUUUAACUGAUGCAAGAGAAGAUAAGGAAGACAAGAUCUCAACCACUUUCAGCAAAGCUUUGCGGAGAAUGCAACAUCCUUCAAGACACCAUGAAGCUCCACGCAUCUGGUCAUCUUGUUUCUUCAGGGAAUAAAUUUAUUGUUCUCUGCUUCAGAACUCUUCACCACCUUUGACUUGGCCUAGUGGUUAAUGAGCUGAGUUCUGAGCAGCUUUUGGGAUUUCCAGGGAGAUUCCUCAAGGACUUCUCCUCAUUUUAGCAAGGGCAGGCACACUUGGCCAGUAAAGAAAAUCCCCCCAGCAGAGAAUUGCAGAUACUCACAGCAAGAAGCCUUUCUUGUGAAUGGAGGAUGGAUGUGGAGCUGGUCCGAGCAGUCUGCCUACUGCAUCUGCUAUGACACCCAGCAAACUGGAAGGGAAAAGCAGUUACAAAGUUUCCAACCAGCACAAAUUCCAUAGUCAGGUUUUCCACAUGUGGGGAAAUGACAGGGGUCAGCACAUCCAACGUGCAAUGGACAAGCCUUGCACUGGGUAAACCACGUUCAUGGUCAUGGAAUCUCAUUUACCAGGCUCCACUGAAAUGAAUGAAACCUGAAAUGGUAGAGAAAACUGCAUAGAAGAGUUCUCAGGCAAUGCAGUCUCAGACUGGAACUACACUAUUGGCUCUCCUGGAUCGCCAGCUUGCCAACUCACCCUGCAGAUCCUGGGAUUUGUCAGCCUCCAUAAUCGUGGUCUCCACUUUUGCGUCUUCCUCAUUCUCUCGUUGCCUGCUGCCACCCAUGUAAGACGGGACUUGCUCCUCCUUGCCUUCCACCAUGAUUGUGAGGCUUCCCCAGUCACAUGGAACUGUAAGUCCAAUUAAACCUCUUCCUUUAUAAAUUGCCCAGUUUUGGGUAUGUCUUUAUCUGCAGCGUGAAAAUGGACUAAUACGUUAAGUUGAUACCAGUAGAGUGGGGUGCUUCUGAAAAGAUACCUGAAAAUGUUUUUCUCAAAAGAUCAAUAUCAUUUUAUAUUUUAAUUGAUUUUAAAAAGCUUUCCUCUAGGUUGUCUCUGGACAGUUUUAAAAAUGACUAAGGCUAAUGGGUGUUCCCUCACUUACAUGAGAGAAAUAAACCAGGAAUUUUGGUUUAUGAA